rnacentral:rRNA from 1 species
UGCGUAGGCGGUCCCGCAAGUCCGCUGUGAAAGCCCCGGGCUUAACCUGGGAAUGGCAGUGGAAACUAGGGGACUUGAAUCUGGCAGAGGGGGGUGGAAUGCCACGUGUAGCAGUGAAAUGCGUAGAUAUGUGGCGGAACACCGAUGGCGAAGGCAGCCCCCUGGGCUGAGAUUGACGCUCAGGCACGAAAGCGUGGGGAGCAAACAGGAUUAGAUACCCUGGUAGUCCACGCCCUAAACGAUGAUCACUAGGUGUUGGGGAAGCGAUUUCUCAGUACCGCAGCUAACGCGUGAAGUGAUCCGCCUGGGGAGUACGGUCGCAAGAUUAAA